rnacentral:rRNA from 1 species
GGGCCCGCACAAGCGGAGGAACAUGUGGUUUAAUUCGAUGAUACGCGAGGAACCUUACCUGGGCUCGAACGCUUCUGGAAUCACGCCGAAAGGCGUGAGCCGGCAACGGCCGGGAGCGAGGUGCUGCAUGGUUGUCGUCAGCUCGUGCCGUGAGGUGUCGGGUUAAGUCCCAUAACGAGCGCAACCCCUACCGCCAGUUGCCAGCGGGUGAAGCCGGGGACUCUGGCGGGACUGCCGGCGUAAGCCGAGAGGAAGGCGGGGAUGACGUCAAAUCAGCACGGCCCUUACGUCCAGGGCUACACACGUGUUACAAUGGCCGGUACAGAGGGAGGCGACCCCGCGAGGGGGAGCGGAUCCCGAAAGCCGGUCGUAGUUCGGAUCGGGGUCUGGAACCCGACCCCGUGAAGCCGGAUUCGCUAGUAAUCGCGCAUCAGCCAUGGCGCGGUGAAUACGUUCCCGGGCCUU